UACGUAGGUGGCAAGCGUUGUCCGGAUUUACUGGGCGUAAAGAGCGCGCAGGCGGUCGUUCAAGUCGCGUGUGAAAGCCCCCGGCUCAACUGGGGAGGGUCACGCGGUACUGAUCGACUCGAAGGCAGGAGAGGGUAGUGGAAUUCCCGGUGUAGUGGUGAAAUGCGUAGAUAUCGGGAGGAACACCAGUGGCGAAGGCGACUACCUGGCCUGUUUCUUGACGCUGAGGCGCGAAAGCUAGGGGAGCAAACGGG
rnacentral:rRNA from 1 species